GGAAGAGGAAGAGGAGUCGGAGGAGGAGGAGAAAGAAUGAGAAUAAGGAAAAAGGCUCGAGGACGACCCGUGCAACGGAGUGACAGCGUCGAGUCGGACGAGGACGAGGUGCCCAACCUCCUGCGCUCCAUCUCCUCCGACCACGAGGACGAGGUCAGGGAUGAGGCCCUCGAUAUUGAUUCAGGUGGGUGGCUGGC
rnacentral:misc_RNA from 1 species